CCAAUAAAAAAUGCAACAGCCAACAACAUCACCAACAGCAACACAUUAACAAUAGUACUACCACCAACAACAACAACAACAUUCAAAAUUUUAACAACAAUAAUACGAUCAGUACUACAAAUGACAACAAUAUUAAAACUAAAACACAAUAUUACUAUACCAACAACAAUAACAACUACAACAGCAACUAUUACAAUUACAAUUACAACAACAACAAAAGUAAAAGCAUAUUUUUCCAUAAUGUGAAACGUAGAACAAUUCACCAGCUCCUCCAUCAUCGACCAAUUUUAAUUCAAUUAAUCACAUUAAUUUUAUGGAUAUUCACAAAAAUACGUGCAAUGCUCUAUAAUACCAUACCAAGGCGGUUGCAAUAAAUAUUAUUUCAAACAAAAUAAACAAAAAUAAAUAAACAACCUUAUUAUUAUUUAAACAAACAAAAAUUGGACACAAUAAAUACAUUAACUUAUUAACUUUGAAAAGAAAAAUGUCCCAACUUUUGAAUUAUUGUAUUGUAAAAUUGGAUAAGAGAAACAUUUCAAAAUUCUUUUGAAAAUAUCCUUGAAUUAGAAAAAAAUAAAAAAGGAAAAACUAUCCAAAAAACAUUUUACAAAAAAAAAACAAAACAACAUGUUUUCUUAUUUCAAUUUCAAACUCAACAACACUUCUUAUCGUUGUUGAAGUUCUUCUUCUACAAUGGCAACGCUUUUAUUGUUGCUGUUUUCCCAAAACUAUUUUCUUUUACUUUUACUUUUCAUUUCUUUUUUUAAUUUUUGUGUUACUCCCUUUUAUUUAUGAUUUCUCUAACCAACCCAAAAGUUUUAAAAAAUGUAGAACUCUACAAACUUUCAUGGUUUCUUUUUUAUUUAGUCCUUUUUCUGUUAAGUAGACUGCUACUUUUAGGAAAACAAAAAACAAACAAAACCAACAACUCAACCAAAACGCACUCUUUAUACCACCCUGUUAACCUCUAUAUAAGAAUUUUUACAAGAAAGACAACUUUUUUCCAAAAAAUAAAACAACAAACAACUAAAACAAUGAAUAAAAGAGCACACAAACAAAAACAACGGAAUGAAAAAAAAUUGUUUAAGAAACUCAGUUGGCAACCAUUCUUUUCCAGAGAAGAUGAAAAAUUUAAGCAAACGCUCUCCUAACAAAAAAAAUACAAUGAUUUUUUAGCAAAUUUUUGAUAACAAAAAAAAUAAACUACUUAGAUAAAUAUUUAAAAAAUAAAAUACCAAAAAAACUAAAAAAAAGAAACAAAAUAUUUAUACAAAAAUACAAGUAAAUGCUAUUUCACCAACACCGCCUUUUUAUAAAAACGAAAAAAGUGUGUCCUUCUUUUAGAUGAUUUCUAAUUUCUAAUUUAUUAUAAUUUUAUAAAUUUUUAUUUAUUUUAAAUACAUUUUCUUUAAAACUUCCCACUUAAAAAAUAAAAAGCGUACAAAGCUUUUAGAUACGCAAUGAAUUUUCACCCCCUUGACAAAAACUCCCAAAAAAUACAACUUUGCUAAUAUUAGAAAAAUGAACCCUUUAGUUUUUGCUUGAGAUAAAUAAAAAAGUAAAUUAGAUGAAACAAAACAAAAAAAUUAGUAGAAACAAAUAAAAUUAAUUUAAUUAACAAAAAAACAUUAAUCAACUUGCGUAGAUUUUGAGCAUUAAACAUAAAAAGAAAACAACAAAUCAUUUAAAGCAAAACAAAAUAAUUAUUAUGAAUUACCAAAAGCAAAGUAAAAACAAAAAUGGUAUUUAUACAACUUUUUUUCCAGGUAGUGGGAAAUAUAUUAUACAAAAAUAAAAAUAAAAACUAUAUAGCGAAGCAAACAAAAAACAACUUAUAUAACAAAUAUAACCUUAAGUUUAAAUAAUUUUAAUAUUUUUAUUUUAAAAUUGUUUUUUAAUUUGAAUUCUUUUGAUUUUCUAAUUUUUAAAUAAAAUAAAAAGACAACAUGCCCAAAAAUAUGAGGUUAAGUCAUCAGUCAUUCAUCGUAAAUCAAUAUUUAUUAAUAACAAAACAAAAAAACAAAUGUGAAAUCAUUGAACUUAAAACAAAAACGAUUUGUUUUGUUUGAAACGAAAAUAAAAAAAAUUAAAUUUAAGUUUAUAAACAACAAACUAAAGUAUUAACAAAAAAAAAAACUUAGAAAAGUCGAAAUGUAGAGGUUUAACGAACAAAACAAAAUAUUAUUUAACGAUUUAAAUGGAAAAUAAAUAAAAAGCAUAAAACAUAAACUUAUGUAAGAGUAGCAGUUUGAAAAGAAAAUAAUUAUUAAAAAAUUAUGAAGCAUAAUAAUUAUUAUUAUUAUUAAGUAAAGUUAUAAUAUUAUAUUUUGAAUUUUUUCAAUAAAAAAUAAAACAAAGGAAUUAAUGGAAAAAUAAAUAAAGCAAAUCAGCUUUCAAAUGUAAAACAGAAUAAACUUAAACAAAACAAAUAAAAAAUCAAGAAAUCACCUGAAGACGAAUGAAGUACCAAAAAAAGUGAUGGAAGUCCAAGUUUCCAUUCCAUCGGAAAAGGCGUUAUGAGGCACAACACUUUUGUUGGAGACAGAUUUGGGAUUAUAAUGACUGCUGGCAGAAGUUUCACGCGAGGGCUUGAGAGAACACAUAAUUACUAAAUUCAAUUCAUUGGAUUCUUCAAUUACCGAAAAACACUAAAUUCGUCAAAAUUGUGAAUUUUAUUUCUUACAUUUGACGAAUUCACAAGAAGCUGAUGAUGCCUAUGAAAAUGGAACUGAGAGUUAACUUCUAAUACCAUUCUUCUUAUCGUUGGAUAUUCUGUGAAAAUGUAUUUGGUACCAAAUUUUGGAAAUUCAUAAAUCUUUCAAAUUCACUAUUGAAUUUUGUAAACUGAACUGGAAAUGUCUAAACUUGGAACACCAAGAAUUUGAACUCAUCCAUUCAAAUUGCAAAACAUUUAAAUAUCUACAAAUUGUUUGAGAAUGGUUAGUCAACAAUUUGGACAGAAAAUUAAUUACAAAAUUCGGAGGAAAACAAAUCUGAGAUCUGAGUCGUGUGGGAAGCAAAGGAAAAUAAAGAUGGACUUAAAUUUCAACUCAAGAAAAUACUUAAAACGAAUUGUGAUCCAGACACAAUUCCAAAAGUAUUGAAAAAUGUUCUUUAAAAAAUUAUUAAAGCAGCAUAUUCAGAAGACAAAAGAAGAACACGAUCAUUUCAAUAUUUAAAGUUAUGUCAAUAUCACAACUUUGAUAGAAGAACAUCAAAUUGAAAUUUGGUACCAAUAAUCCAAUGGAAAGAAGUUAAAGAAAGGCAACAAAUUUUGAAUCUAGAAGAAAUAUUUGACAUUUUCAACAAAGAUAACAAAAAAUAAGUCAAAACAACUCAAUUCAUACGUUCUUAAAAGUCCAAAAUUGUGUUCAAAUUUGCUAUCAGAAAAAACUCUGUUCAUAAAACUCACUUAACAGAAAAUCAACGGCUGAUUCCCGUAUAUAGAAAAAAACUUGAAGGAUGACGUUGUUAAAAUUUCUGCUUUUGUGUUUUUUUGUUCAGAAAAAAUUUAAUAUAGCAAAAAAGCAGUCAUUUGAACCAAAAAAGCAACCUUGCACAUAUGCCGUUUGGAAAAAUGGUUUUUCAUCCAUCGAUCAACAUAUUGAAAUUUGGUACAUUUAAAUAAAAAGAAAAUUAAAACAAUGGACGAACAAUUAAUAAUAUGAAAUUAUUACUCUCUCUUACUUUUACGGAUGCGUCUUCAGUCCAUUACUCAAAAAUACAAAUAAAAAAAAAACUUAAAUGGGUUGGAUAUAAGUUUUGAUAAAAAAAAUCAGAAAAUAUUCUCAAAUCACAAAAAAUAAAACAAAAUUUUUAAAAAAUAUAUGCUCUUGAAAUAUAUUAAGUAUUUUACUUGAUUUGAUUGAGUGGUAUAUUUAAUUAGUAAAUGAAAAUAAAAACAAAAAAAUACAAAUUAUAUGCCAAGUAGAAUAUAAUUACAAAACAAAAAUUAAAUAAUUACAAAUUGUAGUUAAAUUAAGUCUCUCAAAACUAUAUAAAUAUUAAAAUAUUCAAAAAGUAAAAAAACAUCAAUGCACUUUCCGCAUCGAUGUUGUUUCGUUGAAAUUUUUUUUCAAAUCAAAGAAAAAUCAUAAACAAAAAAUCUUACCUUCUAUAAAUCACCUAUCCCAAAAAAAAACAAAAACUAGGUUAAGAUACUUCAAGGUAUCAGGAGAUAAGAUAUAAAAAAUACAAACAAUUAUAUAAGAUCAACUCAUUAUAUUCAAUAAACAAAAAAUAUUUAAUCAAAUUAAUCUUAUUCAAAAAAAAAAAAAACAAAGUUAUAAACUUAAAUAUUAUAUAUUGUACUUUAUCAAAUAAAAUACCAGUAACAACCAGUAAAAAAGAUCAAAUUACUAAAGAAGGAAUCGUAGUUUAGCAAAAAUUAAAUGUUUUUCUUGUUAAAUAUAUCAAAUAUUUAUUAAAUUAUAUAUAUACUAAAAAAAUAAGUAAAUAUCUUAAAAAGCGCGGUCUUGUCUCACCGGUCAACAACGUCGUCAUUUGUCUUGACUGCGUCAAAUCGAAAUUUGUAGCAUUUGGAUUGCAUCUUCCGAAACAACAUCAAGUUCUGAAUAAAAUAAAAACAAAACAAAAAACUUUCCCUCAAAAAUCAGCCGGAAGGAUUCAAGUGCCCAAAACAACAUCCAUCUCAACCACUCUCACGCCGGGAGUUGCCAGAUAAUCUUGAUUUAGGGCAUUCAACAAAAA